rnacentral:rRNA from 1 species
UAAACGAUGCCACCAGCGAUCCGCCUGAGUUCCUUAAAUGACUCGGCGGGCAGCUUCCGGGAAACCAAAGUUUUUCGGUUCCGGGGGAAGUAUGGUUGCAAAGCUGAAACUUAAAGGAAUUGACGGAAGGGCACCACCAGGAGUGGAGCCUGCGGCUUAAUUUGACUCAACACGGGAAAACUUACCCGGCCCGGACACUGGCAGGAUUGACAGAUUGAGAGCUCUUUCUUGAUUCAGUGGGUGGUGGUGCAUGGCCGUUCUUAGUUGGUGGAGCGAUUUGUCUGGUUAAUUCCGAUAACGAACGAGACUCUAGCCUACUAAAUAGGCCACCGGCUUACUGACGUCGGUGGGACUUCUUAGAGGGACAGGCGGCGAUUCAGCCGCACGAAACAGAGCAAUAACAGGUCUGUGAUGCCCUUAGAUGUCCGGGGCCGCACGCGCGCUACACUGAAGUGAUCAGCGUGCAUUACAAACCUGCUCCGUCAGGAGUGGGGAACCCAAUGAACCUUCUUCGUGAUUGGGAUAGGGGAUUGUAAUUAUUCCCCUUGAACGAGGAAUUCCCAGUAAGCGCGAGUCAUAAGCUCGCGUUGAUUACGUCCCUGCCCUUUGUACACACCGCCCGUCGCUACUACCGAUUGAAUGAUUUAGUGAGGUCUUCGGACUGGCCGGCGCAGCUGUCUUCGGGCGGCCGCGCUGUGUUUGGAAAGAUGCCCAAACUUGAUCAUUUAGAGGAAGUAAAAGUCGUAACAAGGUUUCCGUAGUGAACCUGCGGAAGGAUC